CAUAACAACGAUAACAAAUAUUUUUAUUUAAAAAAUAUCAGAUUUAUGGUAUCUAAUAAUUGUAACAACAUCGAAUACGAUAUUAAAAUAUAGAAAAAUGAGAGGAACAGGAGCUAGACCUAUGGACAUCGAUCAUUGGUUAAACAGGACCAUACUAACGCUAUUAAUAGGACAAUCAGUAAUAUAUAUAUUUUUUAAGUUUCCAUUUUAUAAGAAUGUUGAUUAGUUAAUAGAUAAAUCACUUCACCAACAGGCUUCAAUAAUCAAUAUUAUCUUUUUAUCUCUCUUUUGAUUGUGGUUUUAUUUUGGCUGUUUGUGUGCAACGUGAUACUUUAAAGGCAUCGUACGUCGUCGUCAUAUUAGGCUAUAUAGACAAAGUAAGUAGCACUUAUAUUUCCAUAUAAGUAAAAAUAGGAUGUGAAAUUCAGAUAUAAGUAUAAAUAUGUUUUUACUCACUACUUACUGUCUGUUUAAAAUGAUUUCGAACCUAUGUUCUUACGUAAAUAGGCGUCAAUCAUGGAGAUCAAAAUGGGUUGUCUGUUAUGACUUAUUUAUAAAUAACUAAAGAAAUUGGUCUCAAAUCGUAUAACGGAAACGUUUUACUUAAAAUAUUUAGACGCGAAAAUUGCCUAUUUAUAACAAGUCUAUAAGUACAUUAAAUAAAACUGUAAUUUUUGGAUUUCUCAAGAAA